UACGUAGGGUGCAAGCGUUGUCCGGAAUUAUUGGGCGUAAAGAGCUCGUAGGCGGUUUGUUGCGUCGGCUGUGAAAUCCCGAGGCUCAACCUCGGGUCUGCAGUCGAUACGAGCAAACUAGAGUGUUGCAGGGGAGACUGGAAUUCCUGGUGCAGCGGUGAAAUGCGCAGAUAUCAGGAGGAACACCGGUGGCGAAGGCGGGUCGUCUGGGCAACGAACUGACGCUGAGGAG
rnacentral:rRNA from 1 species